rnacentral:rRNA from 1 species
UACGGGGGGGGCAAGCGUUGUUCGGAAUUACUGGGCGUAAAGGGCUCGUAGGCGGCCAACUAAGUCAGACGUGAAAUCCCUCGGCUUAACCGGGGAACUGCGUCUGAUACUGGAUGGCUUGAGAUUGGGAGAGGGAUGCGGAAUCCCAGGUGUAGCGGUGAAAUGCGUAGAUAUCUGGAGGAACACCGGUGGCGAAGGCGGCCUGCUGGGCAGUGGCUGACACUGAGGCGCGACAGCGUGGGGAGCAAACAGG